GUGGGGAAUAUUCCGCAAUGGACGAAAGUCUGACGGAGCAACGCCGCGUGAGUGAUGAAGGAUUUCGGACUGUAAAGCUCUGUUGUUUAGGACGAAAGUGCCUGUUGCAAACAGUUACAGGUAUUGACGGUACUAAACGAGGAAGCCACGGCUAACUACGUGCCAGCAGCCGCGGUAAUACGUAGGUGGCAAGCGUUGUCCGGAAUUAUUGGGCGUAAAGAGCAUGUAGGCGGGAAUCUAAGUCUGUUGUGAAAAUGCGGGGCUCAACCCCGUAUUGCGAUGGAAACUGGGUUUCUUGAGUGCAGGAGAGGAAAGGGGAAUUCCCAGUGUAGCGGUGAAAUGCGUAGAUAUUGGGAGGAACACCAGUGGCGAAGGCGCCUUUCUGGACUGUGUCUGACGCUGAGAUGCGAAAGCCAGGGUAGCGAACGGGAUUAGAAACCCUAGUAGUCC
rnacentral:rRNA from 1 species